CCCUUAGAUGUUCUGGGCUGCACGCGCGCUACACUGAUGCACUCAACGAGUUUACGACCUUGUCCGAGAGGAUUGGGUAAUCUUUUUAAAAUGCAUCGUGAUAGGGAUAGAUUAUUGCAAUUAUUAAUCUUCAACGAGGAAUUCCUAGUAAGCGCGAGUCAUCAGCUCGUGCUGAUUACGUCCCUGCCCUUUGUACACACCGCCCGUCGCUCCUACCGAUUGAGUGGUCCGGUGAGGCUUUGGGAUCUGAGCGGAAAGAGCGUUUCGCUGUUUCUGCUCGGAAAACUCAGUCGAACCUUAUCAUUUAGAGGAAGGAGAAGUCGUAACA
rnacentral:rRNA from 1 species